UACGUAGGGGGCAAGCGUUGUCCGGAAUCAUUGGGCGUAAAGCGCGUGUAGGCGGCUUGGUAAGUCCGCUCUGAAAGCCCGGGGCUCAACCCCGGGAGGCGGGUGGAUACUGUCAAGCUCGAGUCCGGAAGAGGCGAGUGGAAUUCCUGGUGUAGCGGUGAAAUGCGUAGAGAUCGGGAAGAACAUCGGUGGCGAAAGCGCUCUACUGGACCGCAACUGACACUCAGGGACGAAAGCUAGGGGAGCGAAUGGG
rnacentral:rRNA from 1 species